CAGAAAUCAGUUCUGGCCGCGCUCUACAGCUCCGAGGGCUCCGUCAUGGAGCGGCACCACUUUGCUCAGGCCAUCGCCAUCCUCAACAGCCAGGGAUGCAACAUCUUCGACCACUUCUCACGCAAGGAUUACCAGCGCAUGUUGGACCUGAUGCGUGACAUCAUCCUGGCCACGGACCUGGCCCAUCACCUGCGGAUCUUCAAGGACCUGCAGAAGAUGGCGGAAGGUGACGGGGGCUGAUGGCGGGUCCCCAUGUGA